rnacentral:rRNA from 1 species
CGAACGCUGGCGGCGUGCUUAACACAUGCAAGUCGAACGGAAAGGCCCCUUUGGGGGUACUCGAGUGGCGAACGGGUGAGUAACACGUGAGUAACCUGCCCUUGACUUCGGGAUAACUUCAGGAAACUGGGGCUAAUACCGGAUAGGAAUCCUUGCUGCAUGGUGGGGGUUGGAAAGCUUCGGCGGUUUUGGAUGGACUCGCGGCUUAUCAGCUUGUUGGUGGGGUAGUGGCUUACCAAGGCUUUGACGGGUAGCCGGCCUGAGAGGGCGACCGGCCACAUUGGGACUGAGAUACGGCCCAGACUCCUACGGGAGGCAGCAGUGGGGAAUAUUGCACAAUGGGCGGAAGCCUGAUGCAGCAACGCCGCGUGCGGGAUGACGGCCUUCGGGUUGUAAACCGCUUUCAGCAGGGGCGAAGCUUGUGGUGACGGUACCUGCAGAAGAAGCACCGGCUAACUACGU